ACUCAAAUGAAUAGACGGGGGCUCACACAAGCGGUGGAGCAUGUGGCUCAAUUCGAAGCAACGCGAAGAACCUUAUCCUGGGUUUGACAUGCAUGGAUUAGCUCGCUGAAAGGCGAGUGACACUCUCGUAGUGGAACAUGCACAGGUGCUGCAUGGCUGUCGUCAGCUCGUGCUGUGAAGUGUCGGGUUAAGUCCCUUAACGAGCGAAACCCCUAUCGUUAGUUGCCAGCGGGUCAUGCCGGGCACUCUAACGAGACUGCCGGUGUUAAACCGGACGAAGGUGGGGAUGACGUCAAGUCCUCAUGGCCUUUAUGCCCAGGGCUGCACACGUGCUACAAUGGCGCGCACAGAACGAUGCAAGACCGCAAGGUGGAGCAAAUCGCUCAAAACGCGCCCCAGUUCGGAUUGGAGGCUGCAACCCGCCUCCAUGAAGUCGGAAUCGCUAGUAAUCGCGGAUCAGCUACGCCGCGGUGAAUAUGUUCCUGAGCCUUGUACACACCGCCCGU
rnacentral:rRNA from 1 species